UCUGUGAUGCCCUUAGAUGUUCUGGGCCGCACGCGCGCUACACUGAUCAAGUCAACGAGUUUACAACCUUGGCCGGAAGGUCUGGGUAAUCUUUUGAAACUUGAUCGUGCUGGGGAUAGUCCAUUGCAAUUAUUGGACUUCAACGAGGAAUUCCUAGUAAGCGUGAGUCAUCAGCUCGCGUUGAUUACGUCCCUGCCCUUUGUACACACC
rnacentral:rRNA from 1 species